UACGUAGGGUGCGAGCGUUGUCCGGAAUUACUGGGCGUAAAGGGUGCGUAGGUGGUUUGGUAAGUUAGGUGUGAAAGUCCUGGGCUCAACCUGGGGAUUGCGCCUAAUACUGCUGAGCUAGAGUACUGUAGAGGGAAGUGGAAUUUCCGGUGUAGCGGUGAAAUGCGUAGAUAUCGGAAGAAACAUCAGUGGCGAAGGCGACUUUCUGGACAGAUACUGACACUGAGGCACGAAAGCGUGGGGAGCAAACAGG
rnacentral:rRNA from 1 species